GUCCUGCUGUGUCAUCUCCCCUCUUCUCUCCUCAGAAAUGUGGAGGCCUCUCAUGAAUAUCAUUCCACCUUUUCAUAUGAAGUUGCAGUAGGACUAAGAACGUCUUCUAUCGACUCUAGACAGAGGACACUUUGAUGAAGAGUCCAUUUAUAGAAAAUUGAGACGCAUAUUCUCAGUGGAUGAAGGCAACUGUAUCAUCUACAUUUUCCAUGACUCAGCCAUGCCCUUUGUUCUUGGAUGUGAAAAUCUGUUUUCACACUCAGUUGGAAAGCCAGCAUGGUUCGAACAGAUGGCUGCUGACCUUCAGGCAAUAGAGAGGGGAAGACAUUCCCAACUGCUCUCUUUACUUUGGAUAGUGAUCUCAUUUGGAGCAGCAGCCUGGAGAAGCAAACACCUGAAAAAUAGACUCUCUCUUUGAACACUAUGCUCUUCUGGAUAUCUGUUGUGAAACCCUAGGUUGCCAUAUUUUUAUGAUGUCGAUGCCUUGUAUCAGUUUCAUGUCCAUUAUUCUUUAUCUAUUGAAUACCAGUUCCUAACAUUGUAAUGCCUUCUAAGUUUAGAGGAUAUCUGAGUUCAGAAGCCAUGGGGUAUUGAGGUAUUGAAAUAUCUUUUCUUAUUUUUAUAAUCCUGCUCCUAGGAUAUGAUAGACACAGAAUGAAUUUUUACAAUGUAAAUGAUAGGAACUGUGUUGUGAAUGAUUAUAAGAUAUUUGCAUAUUAUGCACCACUCAGAAACGCAAAACAUUGUUAGAAUUAUCUCAUGCCAUAAUAAGAGCUUGAUAUAACUUAAUAAAUGGAAGAAAUGGUGCAUGAACUAGUGUGUCUGACCAACUCUAGUGUACAGUAUUUAGUUAAAAAUGUUUUAGACUUUUUCCUUUUCAUUACUCUGAAAAUAUGGUUCAGCCAGGAUUUAAACUAUUCCUCAAAAUAAUAAAGUACUUUUUAUUAUAGGCUGUA